rnacentral:rRNA from 1 species
UAGGGAAUCUUCGGCAAUGGGGGGAACCCUGACCGAGCAACGCCGCGUGAGUGAAGAAGGUUUUCGGAUCGUAAAGCUCUGUUGUUAAGGAAGAACGAGUGUGAGAAUGGAAAGUUCAUGCUGUGACGGUACUUAACCAGAAAGGGACGGCUAACUACGUGCCAGCAGCCGCGGUAAUACGUAGGUCCCGAGCGUUGUCCGAAUUUAUUGGGCGUAAAGCGAGCGCAGGCGGUUAGAAAAGUCUGAAGUGAAAGGCAGUGGCUCAACCAUUGUAGGCUUUGGAAACUGUUUAACUUGAGUGCAGAAGGGGAGGGUGGACUUCCAUGUGUAGCGGUGAAAUGCGUAGAUAUAUGGAGGAACACCGGUGGCGAAAGCGGCUCUCUGGUCUGUAACUGACGCUGAGGCUCGAAAGCGUGGGGAGCGAACAGG